GUGCUUCCGGGCCGCAGCCUAGGACGCCUCCUCGGCGGUGUAAGUAGAAGCAAAAUCCCCGAGCUCAGUGAGUAGGGAAAGCAGCCCGAGCCACGGCAUUCCCUCUAGUCCCCGCCUCCGAGUCUUCGCAGAUGCUGGUUCAGCUUAACAAGAGGGGCUAGGAUCCCUGAAGCCCCAGUCCCAUGACUCAGGGGUUCCUGGUCGGUUCUCCCUGCCAGGAUUCCGGUUUCUAUCAGCGAACGGCCCCCUGCCCUGCUCCAGGUCCCUCCUCCUGCGUCCGAGUUCCCCUGCAGGCCUCGGCCUCAGCCCGCCUAGUCACUCUCGCUUCGUCUCCCUGACUGUCUGCAGGCCUGGAUAGCAUGGCCGUAUUCCGCUCAGGCCUCCUGGUGCUGACAACGCCGCUGGCCACCCUGGCCGCACGCCUGCCUCCCAUCCUGACCUCGGCGUCACACCUGGUGAAUCACACCCUCUAUGUGCACCUGCAGCCGGGCAUGAACCUGGGGGGACCCGCUCAGCCCCAGCCCAGCCCUGUGCAGGCCACAUUUGAGGUUCUGGAUUUCAUCACGCACCUCUACACUGGUGCCGACCUGCACAGGCACCUGGACGUCAGAAUUCUACUGACCAAUAUCCAAACCAAGAGUACCUUAAUCCCUGUGCUUUCCUCAGUCCAGAAUCUGGCCCACCCUCCAGAAGUAGUUCUGACGGACUUCCAGACCCUGGAUGGGAGCCAGUACAACCCUGUUAAACAACAGCUAGAGCGUUAUGCCACCAGCUGCUACAGCUGUUCUCCA
rnacentral:lncRNA from 1 species